ensembl:lncRNA
GGGGGUAGUUAGAUACUGGAGAAUCAGGGUAACGAGGGGAUAUGAGGAGCGAUUGGAGGUAGUUAGAUACUGGAGAAUCAGGUUAAUGGGGAGAGACGGGAGGUAGUUAGAUACUGGAGAAUCAGGUUAAUGGGGAGAGACGGGAGGUAGUUAGAAGAUAUAAAAUGUGAAGAUUUUAACACUGAUGCCAAAGACACACUUUGAAACACCUUCACGACAGAAGCUCAAGCAGAUGGAAAAUGUGAGAUUUGACUCUGAAAGAAAUGAAUGUUUUGUCCUGAAUAGAAUGUUGCCAUUUAUAUGUCAGAGCAAAAGCUCAGCAGGAAAAUACUGUAUUACUAGAUUGGGAAUCAAAACUGUCCCCUGGGAUAUUUUUGGCAGCACAACACCGUGUCAUCUGAAUGUUAAAUCGUGAUUUAUACUGUCUAUUUACAUUUAAUUCAGACAAGAGCUGAAAUAUUAGUAACAUGCUUGUCUCUAUGGUAAUAUACAGUAUAUUAUAAUGGUAACAUAUCAUGCUUGUCUCUAUGGUAAUAUACAGUAUAUUAUAAUAUUAGUAACAUAUCAUGCUUGUCUCUAUGGUAAUAUACGGUAUAUUAUAAUAUUAGUAACAUGCUUGUCUCUCUGGUAAUAUACAGUAUAUUAUAAUAUUAGUAACAUGCUUGUCUCUAUGGUAAUAUACAGUAUAUUAUAAUAUUAGUAACAUGCUUGUCUCUAUGGUAAUAUACAGUAUAUUAUAAUAUUAGUAACAUGCUUGUCUCUAUGGUAAUAUACAGUAUAUUAUAAUGGUAACAUAUCAUGCUUGUCUCUAUGGUAAUAUACAGUAUAUUAUAAUAUUAGUAACAUGCUUGUCUCAUUGGUAAUAUACAGUAUAUUAUAAUAUUAGUAACAUGCUUGUCUCUAUGGUAAUAUACAGUAUAUUAUAAUAUUAGUAACAUGCUUGUCUCUAUGGUAAUACAGUAUAUUAUAAUAUUAGUAACAUGCUUGUCUCUAUGGUAAUAUACAGUAUAUUAUAAUAUUAGUAACAUAUCAUGCUUGUCUCUAUGGUAAUAUACAGUAUAUUAUAAUAUUAGUAACAUAUCAUGCUUGUCUCUAUGGUAAUAUACAGUAUAUUAUAAUAUUAGUAACAUGCUUGUCUCUAUGGUAAUAUACAGUAUAUUAUAAUAUUAGUAUCAUGCUUGUCUCUAUGGUAAUACAGUAUAUUAUAAUAUUAGUAACAUGCUUGUCUCUAUGGUAAUAUACAGUAUAUUAUAAUAUUAGUAACAUGCUUGUCUCUAUGGUAAUAUACAGUAUAUUAUAAUGGUAACAUAUCAUGCUUGUCUCUAUGGUAAUAUACAGUAUAUUAUAAUAUUAGUAACAUGCUUGUCUCUAUGGUAAUAUACAGUAUAUUAUAAUAUUAGUAACAUAUCAUGCUUGUCUCUGGUAAUAUACAGUAUAUUAUAAUAUUAGUAACAUGCUUGUCUCUAUGGUAAUAUACAGUAUAUUAUAGCAUUAUAGAGAUAUAUGGAGUGCAGGACUAGGACUAUAGACAGUAUAUUAUAGCGUUAUGGAGAUAUAUGGAGUGCAGGACUAGGACUAUAGACAGUAUAUUAUAGCGUUAUGGAGAUAUAUGGAGUGCAGGACUAGGACUAUAGACAGUAUAUUAUAGCGUUAUGGAGAUAUAUGGAGUGCAGGACUAGGAGUAUAUACAAGCCAGCGUCACUGUAUUACAAUUAAUAGCUAUUGAGUUAAUGAAUAUAUUUAUUCCAUAUCAUGAUUAUGUCUUUCACUACUGUAGAGAGAGAAUUCUCCCCUUUAAAAACUUCUAGUAUGUGCUUGGCCAUUCUGAGCCUUAUGAGUCGAUGGUCUACCAUUCUGAGCCUUAUGAGUCGAUGGUCUACCAUUCUGAGCCUUAUGAAUGGAUGGUCUACCAUUCUGAGCCUUAUGAAUGGAUGGUCUACCAUUCUGAGCCUUGUGGAUGGAUGGUCUACCAUUCUGAGCCUUGUGGAUGGAUGGUCUACCAUUCUGAGCCUUGUGGAUG